UACGGAGGGUGCAAGCGUUAUCCGGAUUCACUGGGUUUAAAGGGUGCGUAGGUGGACUGGUAAGUCAGUGGUGAAAUCCCCGAGCUUAACUUGGGAACUGCCGUUGAUACUAUCAGUCUUGAAUACCGUGGAGGUGAGCGGAAUAUGUCAUGUAGCGGUGAAAUGCUUAGAUAUGACAUAGAACACCAAUUGCGAAGGCAGCUCGCUACACGAAUAUUGACUCUGAGGCACGAAAGCGUGGGGAUCAAACAGG
rnacentral:rRNA from 1 species